rnacentral:rRNA from 1 species
UGGGGAAUUUUGCACAAUGGGGGAAACCCUGAUGCAGCGACGCCGCGUGAUUUAGAAGGCCUUCGGGUUGUAAAAAUCUUUUUUACGGGAUGAAAAUGACAGCACCGUAAGAAUAAGGUCCGGCUAAAUACGUGCCAGCAGCCGCGGUAAUACGUAUGGACCGAGCGUUGUCCGGAAUCAUUGGGCGUAAAGGGUACGUAGGCGGCCUAGUAAGUUAGUAGUGAAAUAAUAUAGCUCAACUAUAUAAAGCUUUUAAAACUGCUAGGCUUGAGAGAUGGAAGGGAAAGUGGAAUUCCUAGUGUAGCGGUGAAAUGCGCAGAUAUUAGGAAGAAUACCGGUGGCGAAGGCGACUUUCUGGUCAUCAUCUGACGCUAAAGUACGAAAGCGUGGGUAGCAAACAGG